rnacentral:rRNA from 1 species
UGAGGGAUAUUGGGCAAUGCCCGCAAGGGUGACCCAGCAACGCCGCGUGGAGGAUGAAUGUCGUAAGAUUGUAAACUCCUGUUAGAGGGGAAGAAUAGUACCGGUUGGACCGGUAUAUGACUGUACCCUCAGAGAAAGCCCCGGCUAACUACGUGCCAGCAGCCGCGGUAAUACGUAGGGGGCAAGCGUUGUCCGGAUUUACUGGGUGUAAAGGGCGCGCAGGCGGGAUAAAAAGUCAGUGGUGAAAUCCUACAGCUUAACUGUAGAACUGCCUUUGAUACUUUUAAUCUUGAGUUCGGGAGAGAGAGACGGAAUUCCAGGUGUAGUGGUGAAAUACGUAGAUAUCUGGAAGAACACCAGUUGCGAAGGCGGUCUCUUGGUCCGACACUGACGCUGAGGCGCGAAAGCGUGGGGAGCAAACA